GUGUGAUCGAUCGAGAUUCGAGAUUUCUUUUGUUCUUGCGCAGAAGCCAUACUUGCAAUUGAGGGAGAACAAUUGGACAUUCAAUGCCGACAUAAACGGUGCCUGGAACAUCAUCUACGACCUGUAAUUCUCGAGAGCGAGAGGGAACGAACGAUUCUUUCAAUCAUCUCAUUCAUCUUAGCAGCGAAGAAUGAAAGGGAAAAUUUUUUAGAGGUCUUACUUGCGUUUCUUGGUGGCACUGGCUAGUUCUUCCUCCAAUUCUUCUUCUUCCUCCUGCUCUGGAUCGGCUACUUCCAGCGCGCAGUGAUGCCGGAGCAUGUAAUCGCCCAGUAGCUGCAUCGCUUUGCUCUUGAGAUCCACCAGCGCCGCCGAGAGCGAUGGAUUACUCUCGGAUUGGAUCGAUUGGGCCUCCGCCUCGAGCCGGAAGCUCGCCAUAGCCGUCGCCAUUCUAUCUAUCUUCUUAGCCCUAAAAAAAGGC
rnacentral:lncRNA from 1 species